rnacentral:rRNA from 1 species
UACGAAGGGGGCUAGCGUUGCCCGGAAUCACUGGGCGUAAAGCGCACGUAGGCGGCCUUUUAAGUCAGGGGUGAAAUCCUGGAGCUCAACUCCAGAACUGCCUUUGAUACUGGAAGUCUUGAGUCCGGAAGAGGUAAGUGGAACUGCGAGUGUAGAGGUGAAAUUCGUAGAUAUUCGCAAGAACACCAGUGGCGAAGGCGGCUUACUGGUCCGGUACUGACGCUGAGGUGCGAAAGCGUGGGGAGCAAACAGG